rnacentral:lncRNA from 1 species
GGCCGCUCGGUCUCCACAGCCACGAACGAGGCGCGGCGCUGCAGAUCCCGGUCCAGGAAGAGCAGCACUGGCGUGGGUACCACUCGGCCCGCUGCAUCAGCGGCCAGUACCCAGUCACCACGAUGUAGUUCCCUCAGCCCCUUCCGUUCGCCGCUCCGCAAGCGCACCGUGGCAUUUCCCGGAAAGCAGCCUCCGGCUCGGACCGCCAGAUCAUCCCUGAAAGGCGUGGGAGCAGAAGCACCUGAGAAUGGAGCUGCCCUGGCGUGGAGCUGCCCCCCGGGGGAGGGAGGCCACAGUUAUCUUGGCUGCUCCGGUCUGGGAGUUGGAGACCUUGGCGCGCCAGAGCCGGGGACAAGGCAGGAGCAGGAGCGCAGGAGGACCGGCCGAGAACAACUUUUUUCUUUGUCUCUCACCUCGAACUUGGACUGGAAGUGUUUGCUAGAGGGACAUUUGCCCCCUACCCUUCUUUCUAGUCAACUUCACCUCUGCAGAGGCACUGGACAAGUGGUUUCAGCCAGAGGCAAGGACUGUAAUGUCCCAGGGCCAAGGUGAGGAAGGGAAGGGCCUUCCCAGUUUACUGGAAAGAGGAUGGCUUCAUCACUGGGACAAGAGGGGAUUCUUGGCUCGGAGUAAUUGGUUCUCACCUUCCAUCCCAGCAAUCAGGAGGUAGAGGCAGGAGGAUUUCUAUGAGUGCUACCUAGCAAAUUUUAGAUCUGUCAGGGCUAUGUAGUGUCUCAAUAGAUAAGUAAGGAAAGAAGAGAGAGAGAGAGAGAGAGAGAGAGAGAGAGAGAGAGAGAGAGAGAGAGAGA